AACGCACAUUGCGCCCGCCAGCACUCUGGCGGGCAUGCCUGUCCGAGCGCCAUACAGCACCCGUCAAGCCCUGCUUGUGCUGGGGCCCUGCGGGGAGGGUGGCCCGCAGGCCCCGAAAUACAGUGGCGGGACCGCCGCCGCGCCGGGCGUGAUAGUAGCCUCGCCCCGGGGCGCGCGGCGGCCUCCGGCCGUUUGGGACCGCUAUGAGGGCGCGCGGUAGCGCCAAGGACCGUUGGCCUCGGAUCAGGUAGGAAUACCCGCUGAACUUAA
rnacentral:misc_RNA from 1 species